GAAUAUGUUGGGCUUUGAAAAUGCCUACGAAGUUCCCUUCAUUUACCAAAUUAUUCGAUGGCAACAAACGUUAUAAUACUGAAAAUCAAGGACAAAAAUAUAAAAGUUUAAGUGGCAUGCCGCCAAAUUCCUGUCAGCAAAAUAUGUUCCUUAAGAACUUUAUAUAUAGGAGAAUUAAAUAUGAUGUAAUGCCACUAUCAGAUGAUUUAAUUGUUGAUAAUGGCUUGGCAAGUAUCAGCAAAUAGAGUAAAAACGUAUGAAGUUAGUUUAAGACAAAUAGCAAUAAUUUCAAGAGGAAAAGACAACUUUUACCUCACGAAUCCAUUAUUAUCAAUGUCCACAGCAAGAAAUUGUGAAACAGUCAAAUCCUGAUCGAGCACCUGUUUUGGGUCUAGGCACAGAGAAGACUGAAGAGAAUCGACGUUGAAGAAGGGAGGAAAAUAGAGUUAGCUGGUUAAGGAUUUAAGUGAAGGGCAAGGGUAGUAUACUAUUAUUAUAAAAUAUCUGUCUUUUUAGUAUAUUUUAUCGAUAAA
rnacentral:lncRNA from 1 species